rnacentral:rRNA from 1 species
AUUGAACGCUGGCGGUAUGCCUUACACAUGCAAGUCGAACGGUAGAGGAGCAAUCCUCGAGAGUGGCGAACGGGUGAGUAAUACAUCGGAACGUGCCCAGUCGUGGGGGAUAACGUAGCGAAAGCUACGCUAAUACCGCAUACGACCUGAGGGUGAAAGCGGGGGACCGUAAGGCCUCGCGCGAUUGGAGCGGCCGAUGGCAGAUUAGGUAGUUGGUGGGGUAAAGGCCCACCAAGCCUGCGAUCUGUAGCUGGUCUGAGAGGACGACCAGCCACACUGGGACUGAGACACGGCCCAGACUCCUACGGGAGGCAGCAGUCGGGAAUUUUGGGCAAUGGGCGAAAGCCUGACCCAGCAACGCCGCGUGAAGGAUGAAGUAUUUCGGUAUGUAAACUUCGAAAGAAUAGGAAGAAUUAAUGACGGUACUAUUUAUAAGGUCCGGCUAACUACGUGCCAGCAGCCGCGGUAAUACGUAGGGACCAAGCGUUGUUCGGAUUUACUGGGCGUAAAGGGCGCGUAGGCGGUGCGGUAAGUCACUUGUGAAAUCUCUGAGCUUAACUCAGAACGGCCAAGUGAUACUGCAGUACUAGAGUGCAGAAGGGGCAAUCAGAAUUCUUGGUGUAGCGGUGAAAUGC